UCUUGGACUCACUAGUCUUUCUGAAAUUAUGUCAUAGAACAGGAAUGCGAGGCCAGAAGCAUGAAUGAGGUUUGAAGCAAAACAAGGAUGAAUUAUUGAGUUGGCCAUGGCUUUUGCCAACUGGUGCUAAUUCCUCAGCAUCUUCUAGGGAAUCUUAUGAAAUCCGUGGCUGAAGAGUCUUUGGGCUGGAAAUAUGGUGUGUGCCUCAACUGGCAUCCAUUCUUUAUUCUUCAGUGGUGGUGAAUGAACUUCUAACUCCAGGUUGUACAUACCUGAAUGCCAAGCAGCAUGGAAAAGAUGGCCAACAUCUCUGUAGCAGGGAAGACUGGGCUGGGUCUGGAGAAGCUGCAAGGGACAGGCCAAUUGCGGAGGCUGAAAUCAAAUUAAGAAAGAAUACUUUGGUUUGUCUUAUGGCUGGCACAGUCCGUCAGCAGAGAAGGCAUGAAAGAGUUCAUGGAAGGAGGGAGCAUGCAGUUAUGACUUCCUACACAAGGAGCAGAGAGAUGAACGCUAGUGGUCAGGGUUGAAUAUAAAGUCUGUCCUAAAGGCUCCUGUGUUUAAGACUGUUGCCAGAUGAGAGACUUUUAAGACAUUGGAUCAUCACGAGAGAUCUAAUUUCAUCAAAGAACUGUAGGAGGAGAUAUCUAGAUGGGGGAAGCAGUCACUGGAGGCAUGUCUGUGAAGGAUUCUCUUAUCCCUGGACCCUUCUUUCCUGUCUGCCAUCUGCCUCGAUCUGGCAUUAAGUGAACAUCUUUCUUCCACAAUUAUGUUUCUGCCUCGCCCUAAGCCUAAAAUCAGUGGCACCAGAGGUCUAUGAACGGAAACAGUUGAAGCAGAGAACCA